rnacentral:lncRNA from 1 species
GUGCGGGAGCCGUGCGGGGCAGAGACAGCGGUGCAGGAGGGUGUGAGGGCGGUGCGAGGGCGGUGCGGGAGCGGUGCGGGGCAGAGACAGCGGUGCAGGAGGGUGUGAGAGCGGUGUGAAGGCGGUCCCGGAGCGGUGCGGGGCAGAGACAGCGGUGCGGCAGCGGGGCCUGCAAGGCGUCCGGCGGCCACCGGGGGGCUUCAUUUCCCCUCGAAAGGAGCUCUGCCGGGAGCCGCUUCCCGGGAAAGCGGCUUGUUAGCGCUAAUGAGAGCCCGGCUGUUCUGCUCCCGCGGCUCAGCGUUUACUGUUAGCUCGGGGUUUAGCCAUUUAAAGGUAUCUCGGCCUCCCUGUUUGUUUUGAGGGUCUCACGUCUGUCAGCUUUCACCGAGUACAGACUAAUACGCUUACGCACGUUUUAGCCUUGGCGGGAGCCUGAAUAACGGCCGAGGCCAUUAGUGGGGCAGGACGGCCCCAAAUGCUGGGCUGCAUUCUCUUUCCAGCCUGCCAGGCUCCCGUGACUGCCGUGCUGCUCCACUUUUUGCGGAGAAAAUAGAAGACCAUGAAUUCUGGGUACUGGGAAUGUCACUUGCAGCAACAAGGAAGGCAUCCAGAUGCUGGUGAGAACUGAUGGACACGUGAAGGACACAGCCCUGUGCUACUUAUGUACCACUGGUAGAGGAAUAAUUGCCCUGCACACAUAUCUCAGAUGUCAGGAAGGCAAAAUGGCUGACUGCAACAGUCUAUGGUCUGACAUAGAACAAAACACAACAAAGCUAGGCGGGAAAAGAGCAAGAAUUAGGGGAGCAGUAAUAAGAUCACACAGAAAAGCUGGCAUGCCUCCUGUGGGCUGUGCUUUCAAGCUUGCUCUUCUUCCUGCAACAGUUCAAAGAUCAAAGAAGGAGCAGAGGCUGUUUCCCAGGAGCCAAAAGACACCCAUUACACAGACCCUGUGGGAGAUGCCUGGCAAAGGAUCAGAAUUUAGUGGUCAUUUUGUUUGUUAG